GGCAAUCGUGGGUUUUGUAGUCCUUAACAGAUGGCCAUCCAGCUUCCACGUGUGGUGACCUGGGAGUGGUAGUUCUUAAGAUCCCUCUUGCUCCAGCCAUCUUAGAGAAAUUUAUCUGCCCUCUACAACAUGCCCUCUCAUGAUGCCACAACAUACUUCAUAGUUCACAUACAGUCAUGCUCAAGAGUUUACAUACCCCUUGCUCCAUCUGCAAAAUGUUAAUUAUUUUAAAAAAUUAAAAGGGAUCAUACAAAAUGUCACAGACACGUCAGGUUCCACCUCACUCCCUUACCCACGCACUCAAUCACCAGCCUACUAAUCACCGCCACCUGAAGACCAUCAACACCAUCAUCAACACCAGCACUUAAGCUCCACACUCACACACACUCACUGUCCGGUCUCGUUUGCACUACAGCCACUUGUAUGCUUACCUCAAGGACUCCAAACGCUAUACUUACCUGUCUCCAUCGUCUCCAUCGUCUCCAACGUUCCUCGUGUGCCUACCUGCCUGUGUGUGUGAGUGUCCCAGUCAUCCGUCUCCAGCAUCUCCUUCCAUCACCAUCUGCAACUCAACAAAAGGACAGUAUUACUUCUCAUUCUUCUCCACGACCAUCAAACUUACCAUUCACUUACCUGUUGCUCUGCUGAUUACCUCAAUAAACAUCUGUACUGCUUUUA